rnacentral:rRNA from 1 species
GUUACUAGUAAUCGCAGAUCAGAAUGCUGCGGUGAAUGCGUUCCCGGGUCUUGUACACACCGCCCGUCACACCACGGGAGUUGGAGCCGCCCGAAGCCGAUUAUCUAACCUUUUGGAAGAAGUCGUCGAAGGUGGAAUCAAUAACUGGGGUGAAGUCGUAACAAGGUAGCCGUAUCGGAAGGUGCGGCUGGAUCACCUCCUUUCUAAGGAGA